rnacentral:rRNA from 1 species
AUUGAACGCUGGCGGCAGGCCUAACACAUGCAAGUCGAACGAGUGGCGGACGGGUGAGUAAUGUCUGGGAAACUGCCCGAUGGAGGGGGAUAACUACUGGAAACGGUAGCUAAUACCGCAUACCAUCGGCUUUGCCCAGAUGGUAUUAGCGAGUAGGUGGGGUAACGGCUAACCUAGGCGACGAUCCCUAGCUGGUCUGCGAGGAUGACCAGCCACACUGGAACUGAGACACGGUCCAGACUCCUACGGGAGGCAGCAGUGGGGAAUAUUGCACAAUGGGCGAAAGCCUGAUGCAGCCAUGCCGCGUGUAUGAAGAAGGCCUUCGGGUCGUAAAGUACUUUCAGCGAGGAGGCGUUACUCGCAGAAGAAGCACCGGCUAACUCCGUGCCAGCCGCCGCGGUAAUAC